rfam:Gossypium arboreum cultivar AKA8401 contig_18624_1, whole genome shotgun sequence.
UGUUAAAAUUUUAAUCCAUUUGUACUGUUAUAAACUGGUGUGCCUGACGGAACAACCAGACAGUGACGUCAUGAGUUCCUCUUAUUGAUGUGCAAAGAUAAAUUUUUAAUAAUAGAAAUGGAUGAAUUUUUUAAUA